AUACGAAGGGUGCAAGCGUUACUCGGAAUUACUGGGCGUAAAGCGUGCGUAGGUGGUUGUUUAAGUCUGUCGUGAAAGCCCUGGGCUCAACCUGGGAAUGGCGAUGGAAACUGGGCGACUAGAGUGUGGCAGAGGGUAGUGGAAUUCCUGGUGUAGCAGUGAAAUGCGUAGGGAUCAGGAGGAACAUCCGUGGCGAAGGCGACUGCCUGGGCCAACACUGACACUGAGGCACGAAAGCGUGGGGAGCAAACAGGAUUAGAUACCCUGGUAGUCCACGCCCUAAACGAUGCGAACUGGAUGUUGGGUGCAAUUUGGCACGCAGUAUCGAAGCUAACGCGUUAAGUUCGCCGCCUGGGGAGUACGGUCGCAAGACUGAAACUCAAAUGAAUUGGCGGGG
rnacentral:rRNA from 1 species